rnacentral:rRNA from 1 species
GACGAACGCUGGCGGCGUGCUUAACACAUGCAAGUCGAGCGGUAAGGCCCUUUCGGGGGUACACGAGCGGCGAACGGGUGAGUAACACGUGGGUGACCUGCCCUCAGCUCUGGGAUAAGCCUGGGAAACCGGGUCUAAUACCGGAUAUGACUCCAUGACGCAUGUUGUGGGGUGGAAAGCCUUGUGCGGCUGAGGAUGGGCCCGCGGCCUAUCAGCUUGUUGGUGGGGUGAUGGCCUACCAAGGCGACGACGGGUAGCCGGCCUGAGAGGGCGACCGGCCACGCUGGGACUGAGACACGGCCCAGACUCCUACGGGAGGCAGCAGUGGGGAAUCUUGCGCAAUGGGACGAAAGCCUGACGCAGCGACGCCGCGUGAGGAUGAC